GUCUCAGUUCGGAUUGUAGUCUGCAACUCGACUACAUGAAGCUGGAAUCGCUAGUAAUCGCGAAUCAGAAUGUCGCGGUGAAUACGUUCCCGGGUCUUGUACACACCGCCCGUCACACCAUGGGAGUCGGAUAUGCCCGAAGCCUGUGAGCUAACAAACGAGGCAGCAGUCGAAGGUAGAAUCAAUGAUUGGGGUGAAGUCGUAACAAGGUAAC
rnacentral:rRNA from 1 species